CUGGGGAGCCGGAGCCCCGGGUCGCAGCGACCAGAGCCGGCUCCCCCAGCGGCGUCCUGAGGACCCGGCGUCGGCCUCCUCCCGCACCCUCCGAGGCUGGAGAGUGGAUGAAGUGGGGGGUGGGGUGGGGGCAGCGUCCGGAAUUCCGAGGACAGGAGGCAGAGGCCAUCCCCAAUCCGGAUUAUUGGAAGGGAGAGAGACCCCCAGUUUGGGGAGGGGAGAGCUGGGCGUUGAGCGUGCCCGGCAGCGGGCGCUGCCUUUAGCGGAAGGGUAUCUGCCGGCUCUCCCCCUCCAGCCGGGACGACUCGAACAAGCAAGGCCAGGGACCCCUGUCCUUCAUUCUCUGCACCCCCUCGCCCUGGCUCUGGGGCUGGCCCAGGGAGGAGACCCUGCCCACUUCCCGCCUCUGCCCUCCACAGGGUCUGUCCUUCCACUUCCCAGAGUGAGGGGCCCAGGCCCCAGGCUGCCUGUGUCCCGCUGCAAGGGCAGGGUCCCUCUGUUGAGGGGGAAGGGCCUGGCCAGCUGCAGCUUCUUCCCUCCUGAGCUCCCCAUCUCUGUCGCUGCACCCUGCAACUCCCAUCCCUCCAUAUUUAUUUCCCUGGCCCCCUGCCAGCCCUCCAUCUCUUUCUCUGGGAUUCAGGCCUCCCUGACAUGGAGAGUAACCUGUCUGGCCUGGUGCCUGCUGCUGGGCUGGUCCCUGCGCUGCCUCCUGCCGUGACCCUGGGGCUGACUGCGGCCUACACCACUCUGUAUGCCCUGCUCUUCUUCUCCGUAUAUGCCCAACUCUGGCUGGUGCUCCUAUAUGGGCACAAGCGUCUCAGCUAUCAGACAGUGUUCCUGGCACUCUGUCUGCUCUGGGCUGCCUUGCGCACCACCCUCUUCUCCUUCUACUUCCGAGAUACCCCCCGAGCCAACCGUCUGGGACCCCUGCCCUUUUGGCUUCUCUACUGCUGCCCUGUCUGCCUGCAGUUCUUCACACUGACACUUAUGAACCUCUACUUUGCCCAGGUUGUGUUCAAGGCCAAGGCGAAGCGCCGGCCGGAGAUGAGCCGAGGCUUGCUGGCUGUCCGAGGGGCCUUCGUGGGGGCCUCGCUGCUCUUUCUGCUGGUGAACGUGCUGUGCGCUGUGCUGUCGCGCCGGCACCGGGCACAGCCCUGGGCCCUCCUGCUGGUGCGAGUCCUGGUGAGCGACUCCCUCUUUGUUAUCUGCGCACUCUCUCUUGCUGCCUGCCUCUGCCUGGUCGCCCGGCGGGCGCCCUCCACCAGCAUCUACCUGGAGGCCAAGGGGACCAGUGUGUGCCAGGCAGCUACGAUGGGUGGCGCCAUGGUCCUGCUCUAUGCCAGCCGGGCCUGCUACAACCUGGCGGCCCUGGCCUUGGCUCCCCGGAGCCGGCUGGAUGCCUUCGAUUAUGACUGGUACAACAUCUCUGACCAGGCGGACCUGCUGAAUGACCUGGGGAACAAAGGCUACCUGGUGUUUGGCCUCAUCCUCUUUGUGUGGGAGCUGCUGCCUACCACCCUGCUGGUGGGCUUUUUCCGGGUGCACCGGCCCCCACAGGACCUGAGCACCAGCCGCAUCCUCAAUGGGCAGGUCUUUGGCGCUCGUUCCUACUUCUUUGACCGGGCCGGGCACUGUGAGGACGAGGGCUGCUCCUGGGAGCACGGCCGUAGCGAGAGCACCAGCAUGUCGGGCAGUCUAGGCUCUGGCAGCUGGUACGGCGCCAUCGGGCGGGAGCCAGGCUGGUGCGGGGGCAGCCAGACACGGACCACUCCUCUGCUCUGCUCCCAGGUGCUGGGACCAGGUGGCCACCACCACAGUCUCUACUCCACUCCACAGACGUGAUCCCCUCUUAUUCUCCCCCUUGAACACCCAGACCCCAGUCCUCCAAUCCCAGGCCCCUGUGCCAAGUACAUUUGCCGCUUCUUGCCCAGGAUCAUGGGAGGCUGUGGCCACCUCUUCCCCUGGCCUGCUCCUUGCUACUCCUGUCAUAGUGAGCUUAUGCUGUCCCCUAGGAUGGGGGGCAUGGCCCUGGCUGCCAGAUGCCCGCAGCACCUUGGCAUGACCUGCCGCCUCCACUUCUGCACCGGAGCCGGCUACCUCUCCUGCACCUGCCCCUCAAUAAACAGUCUCUGUGCCCCUCAAAA